AUUGAACGCUGGCGGCAGGCCUAACACAUGCAAGUCGAGCGAGCGGCGGACGGGUGAGUAAUGUCUGGGAAACUGCCUGAUGGAGGGGGAUAACUACUGGAAACGGUAGCUAAUACCGCAUACCAUCAGCUGUGCCCAGAUGGGAUUAGCUGGUGGGUGGGGUAACGGCUCACCUAGGCGACGAUCCCUAGCUGGUCUGAGAGGAUGACCAGCCACACGGGAACUGGGACACGGUCCGGAUUCCUCCGGGGGGAAGAGGAGGGGAAUAUUGACAAAGGGGGGCAAGCCGGAUGCAGCCAGGCGGCGGGGGUGAAGAAGGCUUUGGGGUUGUAAAGCACUUCAGCGGGGAGGCGUUACCCGCAGAAGAAGCACCGGCUAACUCCGUGCCAGCAGCCGCGGUAAUUC
rnacentral:rRNA from 1 species